rnacentral:rRNA from 1 species
GACGAACGCUGGCGGCGUGCUUAACACAUGCAAGUCGAACGAAGAGCGAUGGAAGCUUGCUUCUAUCAAUCUUAGUGGCGAACGGGUGAGUAACGCGUAAUCAACCUGCCCUUCAGAGGGGGACAACAGUUGGAAACGACUGCUAAUACCGCAUACGAUCUAAUCUCGGCAUCGAGGAAAGAUGAAAGGUGGCCUCUAUUUAUAAGCUAUCACUGAAGGAGGGGAUUGCGUCUGAUUAGCUAGUUGGAGGGGUAACGGCCCACCAAGGCGAUGAUCAGUAGCCGGUCUGAGAGGAUGAACGGCCACAUUGGGACUGAGACACGGCCCAGACUCCUACGGGAGGCAGCAGUGGGGAAUCUUCUGCAAUGGACGAAAGUCUGACGGAGCAACGCCGCGUGAGUGAUGACGGCCUUCGGGUUGUAAAGCUCUGUUAAUCGGGACGAAAGGCCUUCUUGCGAACAGUUAGAAGGAUUGACGGUACCGGAAUAGAAAGCCACGGCUAACUACGUG